rnacentral:ncRNA from 1 species
CACCCUUGGUAACGACAUUGCCUCUCCCGCGGGAAACCGCGGGAUGAAAACCGCUCAAAUUCGGGGAAAGCUGAAAUGCCGAUCCCGAGCCAAGUCCGAAAGCCCCAAGGGUCUGACGGAACGGUGUAGAGACUAGACGGGCGGCACCCUCCUCCCCGCGGGAAAGGGUGAAGGGAUAGUCCAGACCACAAACGCA